UGGGGAAUAUUGCACAAUGGAGGAAACUCUGAUGCAGCGACGCCGCGUGAGUGAAGAAGUAAUUCGUUAUGUAAAGCUCUAUCAGCAGGGAAGAUAGUGACGGUACCUGACUAAGAAGCUCCGGCUAAAUACGUGCCAGCAGCCGCGGUAAUACGUAUGGAGCAAGCGUUAUCCGGAUUUACUGGGUGUAAAGGGAGUGUAGGUGGCCAUGCAAGUCAGAAGUGAAAAUCCGGGGCUCAACCCCGGAACUGCUUUUGAAACUGUGAGGCUGGAGUGCAGGAGGGGUGAGUGGAAUUCCUAGUGUAGCGGUGAAAUGCGUAGAUAUUAGGAGGAACACCAGUGGCGAAGGCGGCUCACUGGACUGUAACUGACACUGAGGCUCGAAAGCGUGGGGAGCAAACAGG
rnacentral:rRNA from 1 species